rnacentral:rRNA from 1 species
GACGAACGCUGGCGGCAUGCCUAAUACAUGCAAGUCGAGCGAACAGAUGAAGUGCUUGCACUUCUGACGUUAGCGGCGAACGGGUGAGUAACACGUAAGGAAUCUACCUAUAAGCGGGGGAUAACAUUCGGAAACGGGUGCUAAUACCGCAUAAUAUCUUCUUCCGCAUGGAAGAAGAUUGAAAGACGGCUCUGCUGUCACUUAUAGAUGACCUUGCAGUGCAUUAGUUAGUUGGUGGGGUAAUGGCAUACCAAGACGAUGAUGCAUAGCCGACCUGAGAGGGUGAUCGGCGACAUUGGGACGGAGCCACGGCCCAAACGCCUACGGGAGGCAGCAGUAGGGAGUCUUCCGCAAUGGGCGAAAGCCUGACGGAGCAAUGCCGCGUGAGUGAAGAAGGCCUUCGGGUCGUAAAACUCUGUCAUAAGAGAAGAACAAAUUGUAGAGUAACUGCUACAGUCUUGACGGUAUCUUAUCAGAAAGCCACGGCUAACUACGUGCCAGCCGCCGCGGUAA